AAUAUAUCGGAACGUGCCCAGUCGUGGGGGAUAACGCAGCGAAAGCUGUGCUAAUACCGCAUACGAUCUAUGGAUGAAAGCGGGGGAUCGCAAGACCUCGCGCGAUUGGAGCGGCCGAUAUCAGAUUAGCUAGUUGGCGGGGUAAAAGCCCACCAAGGCGACGAUCUGUAGCUGGUCUGAGAGGACGACCAGCCACACUGGAACUGAGACACGGUCCAGACUCCUACGGGAGGCAGCAGUGGGGAAUUUUGGACAAUGGGCGAAAGCCUGAUCCAGCAAUGCCGCGUGCAGGAUGAAGGCCUUCGGGUUGUAAACUGCUUUUGUACGGAACGAAACGGUCUCUCCUAAUACGAGGGGCUAAUGACGGUACCGUAAGAAUAAGCACCGGCUAACUACGUGCCAGCAGCCGCGGUAAUACGUAGGGUGCAAGCGUUAAUCGGAAUUACUGGGCGUAAAGCGUGCGCAGGCGGUGAUGUAAGACAGAUGUGAAAUCCCCGGGCUCAACCUGGGACCUGCAUUUGUGACUGCAUCGCUAGAGUACGGUAGAGGGGGAUGGAAUUCCGCGUGUAGCAGUGAAAUGCGUAGAUAUGCGGAGGAACACCGAUGGCGAAG
rnacentral:rRNA from 1 species